rnacentral:lncRNA from 1 species
CAGGAGGUUGGAAUGGUCCAGAAUAGGUAGGUCAGCUUGCCAUCCCCAAUCGAAGCAAAGGUUAAGGGGAUUUGGUGAAUAAUGACCUAUAUACUAUUAAAAACAGGGUGUACUGAAAUAUUCUUCCAUAUGGGGGGGGGGGGCAACACGAGAACGGGCCUUCUCUGCAGUGGCUCCCCAUCUAUGGAAUGCUCUCCCCAGGGCAGUUCACCUGGCGCCUUCAUUAUACACCUUUUCCUUUUCAACCAGACCUUAGGUUGAUUUGAAUGACAUACUAUGCCCUUUUAAAAUGUGGGUUUUUUUGGGGGGGGGUUAUUGGGUUAUUGUUUUAUUUUUAUUAGGUAUUUUGAGGUUUUAUGUUAAUUUUAUUCUGUGACCCCUGGGUAUAGGGUGGCAUAUAAACUCAAUAAAUAAUAAUAAUAAUAAUAUCCACUCCAGCACCCAUUUUUUAAAAAAAGGGUUUCCAGAUAGAAAGGUUGAGUCUAUAAUAGUAAUCUAAGUGAUAGUAAUGUAAAGGCCCAUUGCUUGGCCCUCCCUGCUGCAAUUGCUAUUGGCAGAAGAGUAACUUUCCCGAGCUUUGAAUUCCACUUUCUGUUGGCAUUCAUGGUCUGUAAUAGCAUGCCAGAAUCACCUUGCAGGAAUGGCAGUAGUAUUAGGUAUGCUUCACUAGCUAGCUGAGCUCUGAAGUCUCCAAUUUAUUGCUUCACAGCACAAUGUAUGACUGGAAGCCUCAAUAUUCUGGCCAAGGAACUCUGUUUUUAGGAAUCUUAGGCGUCUUUAUUUCCACACAAUACUCUUCUAAUGUCUUCAGAAACAUUUGGGUAACGCAGAUCAGCAUCAUAUACACAAAUGGCAUGGAAAAUGUAGAAAACAUUCAACAAUCCUUAUGUUGUUUCCGUAUAAAGUAACAAUAUGGAUGGCGGGGAAGGAGGGGGGUAGGAAUUGGGACAUAGUUUAUCUGGAUGACCAAAAAUGUGAGAUAAGCAAGAUUCAGACAACUGGACUGGGGCCAUGGGCUCCAUGCAGCGUGCCUGGCCCUGGCACCAAAAUUUGUGGGUGCCUGGCCCCUUCAUGGGGAAUUUUGUGGGUGCUCAGGCACCCAGGGAGUUGGCACCUAUGAGUUACACUGUGUGGGAGGAUAUUAUUAUAUAUUUUAGUAAUGAUUAUUACUGUGAAUCUGAUGAAGUGCUUUCUGCAUUUAUGUUAGUUAUCAUCACAGCAACACCAUGUGACAAAUCACUAAGUUUGGGUUUAUGACACACACACACACACACAUCACUUCCCACUACAAAAAGUCCCAAAGUGAAUUGAAACCAGAGUAAAUAUACAACAAUGAAAGUACAUAAGCAUGUUAAAACACAGUUGACUACAAAUAUUCAAUAACUGGUGCCACUUAACCCCUUUUUGUUGUACUGGUGGGGGAAAGGGACAUGGACUAAAAUGCUACUAGGCAAGUGGAUGGCUGUUUAAGAAAGACGUGUGGGCUCAAAACUCCCAUGUCUAAAUCCUAUCCACAAGACCAUUCUCAGUGCUUUGAGUGAUGAUGGUAAUUUUGCCCGCAGGGUUUAAAUUGCAAGAAAAUAGUCAUAAAGAGUAGCCAGCUCUAAUGACCACAUUCCUUAUUUUGGUAUCUUUUAAAAGCCCUUUCUUUUUGGUUGAUUUAAAGAAUAUUUACAGUUUCAUUUUGUACAAGUUGUUCCUCUUUUAACUUUCUAGAAUUCUAAAACAUUGCUUUACAUUUAUUUUCACUUUGAUAAGAAUCAAAGCCCACUCAAAGCUAGUUGAAAUAUGGAAAAUUUCAGAUUAUUGGGAACUGUGGGAGAGAUUUCACAGAAUAUUUUCUGGGGAGAGAGACAGAAUUCUUCAAAAGUUUGGGAGGAGGGCACAGACACAAAAAGAAAAUCUGGGUCAAAAUUUAUCAUGUAUGUUCUUCUGUAGCGGGGAGGGGGGAAGAGUCCACAAAGGAUAUGUUUUUCCUAUCUGUAGCUUAUUUUAGACCUGUCUCCCCACCACCACCUGUUUGCUCUGGAGUCCCUUCCAGGGCAGGUCAAAGUCAAUGGCAGCCAAGAGUUGAAUAUAAAUAUAGUCCCUCAUACUUUGUGGGGACUUUGCUAGCUUACUGAUAAACGCCACAAACCUUACCAACAAAGUCUACAACUCUUCCAACUCCUUCCCUGUCAUGGUGUUUGGUCUUGUAUUACAGCAUAAAAAGUCUCCUAUUUGAAAGGGACAAAACCCCCACUAAAGCAUAAGAAGGAACAUUUGCAGCGCUUCAGUAGGCCACUUUUUGUAUUGUGUACAGGUGUGGUAAAUGCCAAAUCAAUAAGACUUCAAAUUACAAUUGACUUUUUUAAAAAAUUGAACAAACUGCUUUGAGAUGGUUUUAAAGAAAAAUGACACUGCUUAUUUUCACCAAGAAUUAUUUUCAUUGCAUAAAUCUCAGGUUGUACUAUAUUUUAAGGUUACACGGUGAGUCAUUUCGUAAACUACUAAUGCUCUCUCUGCUUCUAUAAUAUUCUGUUACAAUGUUCCAGCCUUACACCUGCGUGCCAAAAUUAUGUCAACCGCAUGAAAGAGGGAAACGGGGAUUCUGUUUCAAUAACUGAAAAGAAGCCAACGAUGUAAUUGCUACAGAAACUUUAAUUAGAAAUCAUUAACUGUUAAUGCUUUUUAAAGAUUGAAAGCAUUACUUUUGGUGAACCACAGCAUCCAGUCGUGUCAUUCACAUUCUAGACAAGCUUUUAGAUUUUGUUCCACAGAAAUUAAGGUGACAGCAUAAAAGCCAACAAUAUCUAUUUUCUAGUUUUCAAUUUCUUACUUUGCAGAGCUCUGAUUUGCCAAUGCUCUUCAGUUAACUAGAUUCUAUUUCCCAAAAAACGAGGGUGGUAUCUAAAUAGCAGGGUUUUGAGAAAGUUCUUGUCAAAGGUUCUACAAACUUUUCUGCAAACACUGCACAUUGCUACUGAAAACUUAUUUUGGCUCUCAAAAGACAUCUUUCCUAUCUGUUAUUUUUAUUUAUCUAUGAAUCAUCUUUUAAGUGUGUGUCAAGGUGAUUUACAAACAUAAUUAAAACAGCUAAAAGUAGUUUUAGUAUAGAAAAUAACUGAAAAUAGGUUUAACAACAAUACAAAAUGAACAUUUAGGAACCGCCCUGAAAUCUAUGGGUAUAGGGCAUUAUACAAAUUUAAUAAAUCAUCAUCAUCAUCAUAAAGGCACAGACCUUUUUAUCCAGGUAUAUCUGAGGCAAAUCCUAAAGCUAUUAGCAAUGCUAGUUAAAUUAUCAAUAAUACCUAAUUCCAAAUGCAUUAGGUGAAAGAAAACUUCAUUGGAAUCCAUUUAAUUCUAAGAGAAGUCAUUGUGAUCAAAGUGUUAGGGCAUGCCUUGGUCAAUCUAAUUUAUGGAGAAAUAUGGGUAGAAUUCAAUAUACUGCUAAGAGUGCUAUGGAGUGCUUUGCAAGUAGGGAAUGGGGUUUACUCUCAGAACAAAAUGUUUCUCCCUCUUCUCCCACUGUGUGCCCCUUGUGCACCCCAUAAUACAGUUACAGGUUUUCCCCCAACCUAUGUGACCGAUGUGAUUUUACAUGCCUAACUAGUGUGAGAUAUAAACAAAGAAACAAAUAAUCCACAACUCUCUUAAAAUACACAGUUGUUUUGCUUUGCAAUUGAAUAUUGGGGGGGGGGGGCUUUGAACCUUGCUGUGAUUAGGGUUUCCAGGUCAGGAACCUCCCAGAUCCUGAGAUUUCAAGACCCAAACUUGACACCUAGGGGCAGGCCCUGAUUAUUUUUCACUGAGCUCCCUCUCACCACUGAGCCCUGGAGAAGGAGGUUAAUUGGGAGACAUUAACUGAGAGAUGGGAAGAGGGAAGAACCGCCUCUCCCCGAGUCUGUGCAAUAUGCAUCCAGUUUUUGCUGGCCAAAGUUUGCAAGCUGCAUGCAUUGUCUCCAUAAGAAAUAAAUAGAAGUACUCUUCCCCAUCUGAAGAUUCAAACCCUCCCUCUGCCACUGGGAAAGGGGGAGGGCAAGCAAACCAGGAGACUUCAGGUCAGCCCUAGAGGUCUGGCAACCCAGCUGUCAAUUUCACUCAUCCUGCUGGCCUGCUUUGUCAUCCCAUUUUCCCUGGAGCUGGAAUCACAUGCAAUCUUAUACUCCUCUACUGCAAAAUAAGCUCUAUUCAGUUCAGUUGGGUUUACUCCCACCAUAUAUGUGCAUAUGAUUGUAGCCUCACCCAUUUGUUGUGGGUUUUGGAUUGUGGAUCUUUGGGCCCUAAACAUACAUGGGUAAUUUAGAUUCAAUUAGACCUGAAAUCAUUGCUGAAUGAGCAGUUCUUUGUAGCACUCUACAAAAAUAUACCAUGUCAUUUCACAAAAGUUUUCUUCCCUCGUGAAAGAGUUUUGCAUUUUUUCUGUCUCAUUAGUGAGCUGCUUUAGAGUUGUUGUUGUUUUGUUUGUUUAUUUAGAAUUUCAGUGGAUACAAGUGGUUUUGACUUACUUUACUGUUGCAAGGAGACCAAUCUCUUUCUUUCUCCCGCUGUGUGUGUAUCUUUCUCCAGUGCUCUGCAGCCUCCCCUGCUGCCCAUGCUUCCUGGUCCAGAAAAGCCCAUGGUAGGAGUUACCUAAUGAAAUCUUCCCUGGAAUUUUGUUAAAUCCUGGGAAACUGGGAGGCUGUCUACCAACUGCCUGACAUAAGUGUGCUCACUGAUUUUGUUUGAAGGAAAGGCCUUCCUUUUACCUGCAAAAAAUCUUUCUGCAAAGAUUUAUUUAAAAGCAGAAAGCAAAAUGAGCCUGUCAGCUGCUCAGUAAGUGAUCUCUCAACUUGCAUGGUAAAGGUAAAGGACCCCUGGACGGUUAAAUUCAGUCAAAGACUACUAUGGGGUUGCGCCGCUCAUCUUGCUUUCAGGCCAAGGGAGCCAGCAUUUGUCCACAGACAGCUUUCCAGGUCAUGUGGCCAGCAUGACUAAACCACUUCUGGAGCAACGAAACACUGUGACAGAAACCAGAGCGCACAGAAAUGCUGUUUACCAUCCUGCCACAGCAGUACCUAUUUAUCUACUUGCACUGGCGUGCUUUCGAACUGCUAGGUUGGCAGGAGCAGGGACCGAGCAAUGGGAGCUCACUCUGUCGUGGGGAUUCAAACCACUGACCUUCUGAUCAGCAAGCCCAAGAGGCUUAGUGGUUUAGACCACAGCGCCACGCACAUCAUGCUUACACCAACUUGCAUGCUUACAGUAAAGCCCAGUGUAGGACAUGUGGUUUUGAGGAAACAGAGUGCAGACCACUGGAGUGAUGAUUUGUGUGAUGAAAAACAAAACCUCUUGGUCACUUUGAAAGUGAGGUAAGCACGUCAGCAGGCCUGCGCCACACCCAGGAGAACGUUGCUCAUUCACCCUUCCCCUUUUGAUAAUGUCUGAAUGCAAUUUCUUUUCUCAUUAAUUGACAGAUAAUGAGAUGGUUAAAUUAAUGCAGGAUUAUUUUUUUACCAGGUUGCUAGUUUUGGGUACUUUGGUCUCUUCUUUGCCUUCUCUUGUUGUUUUCAAUACAGAGUUUAUUUUUUUUUCUCUCCCCCUAAAGAUAUAAAGCUGAGAAUCUGAAAUGUCCGUUUCAUACUUUCCAGGUUUUCUCCAGAUGAAUGAUAUUGGAAAGAAGAUAGGCAAUUUUUGAGCUUGUCAUGCUUAGAAAAGAAAUUAUUUGUGAAUUUGAAGUCAUUUGAAGUCGACAAAUAAGUGCCUGCUUUUCCUCUCCUGAUGCUCCUGUCAGUACCUUAGAAGCAUCGCUAGGCAGACAUUGUCAGAUAUUAUGAUGUCUGUCUCUCGUCUUCUAGAAGAUUACUUUAUUUCUGGCUAUUUGUCAAAAUGAUUUGUGGCCUUAUUAAAGUACUUGGAUCAGUACCAAAUUCUACAGCUGAG